rnacentral:rRNA from 1 species
CAGGCCUAACACAUGCAAGUCGAACGAAGACCAUAGAGGAGCUUGCUUUGAUAUGGUUUUAGUGGCGGACGGGUGAGUAACGCGUGAGGACUUGUCGAGUACAGGGGGACAACAGGUGGAAACGUCUGCUAAUACCCCAUAAGCCUUCGGGUAAAAGGAGCGAUCCGGUACACGAGAGACUCGCGUUCUAUCAGCUAGUAGGUGGGGUAACGGCCCACCCAGGCCAAGACGGAUAGCCGGACUGAGAGGUCGAUCGGCCACACUGGAACUGAGACACGGUCCAGACUCCUACGGGAGGCAGCAGUGGGGAAUAUUGGGCAAUGGGGGCAACCCUGACCCAGCGACGCCGCGUGAGUGAAGAAAUCCCUCGGGAUGUAAAACUCUGU